GGUUGUUAAUAAUUUAUUUUUGUUAAUUUUUAUUUGUUUUAAUGAAAUUAUUUUUUUGUUGGUGUAUAUAUUUUUGAUUUAAUUUUCUUAUUAUAGUUUAUUUGUACUGUAGAGGUUUAUUUUUAUUAUUUAUUAAGUUGAUUUAUUUUAUUGUACCUUGUGUAUCAGGGUUUAUUGAAUUUUUUUAUUUAUUUUUUGAUUCCCGAUUUUAAAUGAGUUAAUUAAUUAUUUUAGUUGUUGUUUUAUCAACAUUGAAUAUAUUUUUUUGGUAAUGAAAUGUUAUUCGUUUUUUAUGGUAUCUGGUUUUUCGGGAAAUGAAUUUAAUUCAAAUAUUAUUUUUAAUUUUCUUUAUUAUUAGUUUUUUUUUAUUUAAUAUUUAUGUAUUGGGGGAUUAGCUCUUUUAUAUAUUUUUAUAAAAUUUUAUUUAUUUUAUUUUUGUGGGUUUUAUGUUAACUAACAGUUUAAUUAUGUUGAAAUUUUAAUUUUUGGUUAUUAUAUUUUUGUUAUUUUUAAGUUUUUUAUUGGAAUGUUUUAGUUAAUUUUUUAUUUAUUGUAAUUAUUGUUUAAUUAGUAUAUUAUUAUUUAUUUUGUUUAUUUUUUGUUAAGUUUUUUAGAGGAACUAGGCAAUUUAUUUCACUCGCCUGUUUAUCAAAAACAUCUCUUCUUGAAUAUAAUUUGAUGUAUGGCCUGCCCACUGAGUAUUGAAGGGCCGCGGUAUUUUGACCGUGCAAAGGUAGCAUAAUCAUUAGUCUUUUAAUUGUGGACUGGAAUGAAUGGUUUGACGAGGUGUUAACUGUCUUUAAUUUUUUUAUUGAAUUUAAAUUUUAGGUUAAAAUGCCUAAAUGUUUUUUUGGGACGAGAAGACCCUAUAGAGUUUUAUAUAUUUUUAAUUUUUUUUGUAUGAUAAGUUUUAAUUUAAAAAUUUAUUUUGUUGGGGUGAUGAGAAGAUUAGAUUAACUCUUUUUAUUUUUUUUUAUAUUUAUUUAUAUAUAUUUGAUCCAUUUUUAUUGAUUAUAAGACUAAAUUACCUUAGGGAUAACAGCGUAAUUCUUUUUGAGAGUUCAUAUUGACAAAAGAUUUUGCGACCUCGAUGUUGGAUUAAGAUAAAUUUUUGGUGAAGGUGCUAUAUAUAUUAGGUCUGUUCGACCUUUAAAAUCUUACAUGAUCUGAGUUCAAACCGGUGUGAGCCAGGUUGGUUUCUAUCUAUAAUGAUUUAUAACAUUUUAGUACGAAAGGACCAUAUGUUUUGAAUAAUUCUAUUUUAUGAUUACUAAUAAUUUUAUUUACUAAUUUAAUAGUAAUU
rnacentral:rRNA from 1 species